AGAGCGAACGCUGGCGGCAGGCUUAACACAUGCAAGUCGAGCGGGCGUAGCAAUACGUCAGCGGCAGACGGGUGAGUAACGCGUGGGAACGUACCUUUUGGUUCGGAACAACACAGGGAAACUUGUGCUAAUACCGGAUAAGCCCUUACGGGGAAAGAUUUAUCGCCGAAAGAUCGGCCCGCGUCUGAUUAGCUAGUUGGUGAGGUAACGGCUCACCAAGGCGACGAUCAGUAGCUGGUCUGAGAGGAUGAUCAGCCACAUUGGGACUGAGACACGGCCCAAACUCCUACGGGAGGCAGCAGUGGGGAAUAUUGGACAAUGGGCGCAAGCCUGAUCCAGCCAUGCCGCGUGAGUGAUGAAGGCCCUAGGGUUGUAAAGCUCUUUUGUGCGGGAAGAUAAUGACGGUACCGCAAGAAUAAGCCCGGCUAACGUUCGCGCCAGCAGCCGC
rnacentral:rRNA from 1 species